GCUUGAUUGUGAUAAGGCACAGGGUCCCACCACCACCGUGGCUCCAAGGGAUUUGUGCAGCAAAUCUGGAGCAGGCAGGAGAGCAAGCAAGAAAAGAAGCAGCUUGAGUUACUUGAAAUGCUGAGGUGGAGGCGUUUGAGAAGCUGUGAAGGAAGAGGUGUUUUAUGAGCCUGAAUGGAGAGCAGCUGCAGAAAUUCUGAUGGGCCUGCUGAAGAGCCAUGAAAAGUGGUUGCUAAAUCCUGAUUUUCCAUUUUUGCCAUUGGUAGAGAAGAUGGUACAGAACGUAGUCAACAAAACACAGCUCCAAUCUCCAAGAUAACAGUGGUAAAGUGUGCAUGACAUAGCACUCACAUACCACAUAAAAGGUAUGCGGCUGUUGCUAAUUGUAUGUAAUAGCCAGUAGCCAGUCAAGAUUUUCCUCAACCUUAACCUCUUCACUUUAUCUCAGUAAUGCAUUUUUGAGUCUUUCCAAGUUUAAUAUCAGUUUUCUUUGCAUCCAUCAUUUGUGUCAAUUAUAAAUUAUGCUCUCUGACUUAGCCUAGAAAGUGUCUUUUCAGCUAAACGAAAAAAAAGUAAUUCCAUAGACUUUCUCAAAAGCUGUUGUUUCAAACUCUAAUUUAACUCCCAAAACAGAUCCAUAUGCACUGCCCCAAGAAGCCCAGUCCUAACUACACAGGAUUUUCCUCUUGACUUUGGUGGGGUUUGGCCUGAAAGAUAGCACAAUAGCUACUACUUUCACCAGAAGAGGCUGAGAUUUAAAGGGUAAAAUAACUCAUUGAAAAUUAGACAGAAGCAUUGCUUUAAGAAACAGUGAAAUAAGCUCAGGUACCCUCAAGCUUGCUCUCCUUUAUGAAGUAGUUUAAGUAAAUCUGAAGUAGAAGUCCACCUCAAAAUGCUGCAGAAUACAGAUAUGCUCAAAAUUUUGGACUUAAGGAGAAGAUACUUCUUAUCUCAGAGAAUGUAUCACUAGUAAAAAAAGGUGAGACUUUUCCUACUUAGACAACUAAAUUAUUUGGAACUUAGUAUUAAAACUUGUUUGGAGAUGGAAAGCUUUAGCCAGUAUCUAAGCUGCCUAAGCAGUAUUAACUUUUUUUUUUUUUAGCAAUGUACAAAGGAAUCAUUAUGAAGAGAUGAAUCACAACUUGGGAUCCCAUUACCACUUAAAAAUAUGUUUUGACUGACAUUUCCAAAUGCUGAUUUUUCAGCUAAUAAGGGAAGUUAAAAAAAAAAAAAGGAAGAAAGAAAGAUUAAGAAUCUAACAUGAAUUUUACAGAUAGAGAUUUCUUCUGGAAAUAUCAGUUGUUAGUUAAGAUUUGCCAAACAUCAUAAAUCACAGUUCCAAGAAAUGCUGAAAUAUGGGUAAUAUCGCUAAAAAAAAAUUUCCCAGAAUUUCUAUUAAUCUAUUUUGUUCUGAGUACAGGGAACUUUUUUCAGCUGAAAAUUUUUCUCACAAAAGCAGUUUCUCCUUUGUUCUUGUUGUUUUUUUUUUUAAACUGUUUCAGUGUUUAUAUUGGGUAUAAAUGUGUCUUCUCUUAUUCUCAAUCCACAUGCCAAGAUUUUGUGUAAUUAUAGUGUAAUUCUUACUUAUUUCAUGAUAUUAUUUUAUCUUUCAUCUGUUUGUGUAUGUAUUCUCAUAUAAAUAUAUAAAUAUU